GCAGUCGCCACGGUAAUACGGAGGGUGCAAGCGUUAAUCGGAAUUACUGGGCGUAAAGCGCACGCAGGCGGUCUGACAAGUCAGAUGUGAAAUCCCCGGGCUUAACCUGGGAACUGCAUUUGAAACUGUCAGGCUGGAGUCUUGUAGAGGGGGGUAGAAUUCCAGGUGUAGCGGUGAAAUGCGUAGAGAUCUGGAGGAAUACCGGUGGCGAAGGCGGCCCCCUGGACAAAGACUGACGCUCAGGUGCGAAAGCGUGGGGAGCAAACAGGAUUAGAUACCCGAGUAGUCCCUGUCUCUUAUAC
rnacentral:rRNA from 1 species